CGCCCAGAGCCGCAGCCGCCGCGCAGGCAGGGCCGGGCCGGGCCGGGUGCGCGGGCACAAAGGGGCCGCUGCACAUGGCAGGCAGGCGAGCAGAUGCCAGCAGACAGCUUUUGUUGGAUGAAGUCUACUCUCCAGUGUAUUCUUCAGGAAGAGCAUUAGCACACUGUUCCAUGGAUAGCUUGGAUGGAUAUUAAAUCUGUGACUGGCACUUUCUUUCCUUGAGUCCAUGAAAAUGCUGCUUCACUCCUGCCUGACCUUUUCUGUGGCUGUGAGAAGCCUGAUACCCUGCCUGAUUUUCUUUCCUUGUUUUGUGGAAGGUAGUACUUGCAAGGGAUGAAACUGGAUAUUUUACUGAGGAGAUUUCUAAGCAAAAUGUCGAAGAAGUGACUUGGUUCCUCCCAGUUGAUUGUAGUAAAAUGCAAGAAGAGAGAAAUGAAUUGAAAAAGGAAUUGUUGAGCAAAAAUGAACCAGAGUUUAAAGAUUUGGAAAAUUCUCUGUCUGUUCAUAUGACGAAAAAUGAGAAAGUGUGUACUGAAGAGAACACUAAGGGUGUGGUGGACCAACCAUUUCAUAAAGAGAUUAGUGUGGCUGUGUACCAUGAACUUAAUCAGCCAUUUCAACAGAGGCCGGGAAUACAGAUGGGAUUACACCUGCAGAGACACUGCUGGCUGGGACUAAAAAAAACAGAACAUGGAAUGGAAUGAAGGAAGGCCGUGACUUUGUGCUAUCAUCUAGUAAAAGGGAUGAAGGGCCCCGAGGCAAUUUGGAGGUCCUCUGCCUCCAAUUUGAAGGACUAUUGCCCUGGUUUCAAUAGUCCAGACAGCUUCCAACCAAAGAUGUGGAGGCACAAUCUUUGCCUGGUAGAGAAGCUAGGGGUGCAACAUCUGGCCAGGAAUGCUGCUGGGGUGGGACCUUUACCCUAGUGGCUCCAGAAGGCAGGGCAUCAAACCAAGGAUUACUCCCAAGCCUUAAGAUUUCAUGGAGUUUGCUUUGUAGUUUGGACUUGCUUGGGACUGGGUCACCCCUUCCUUCUGUGUUUCUUGCUUUUGGAAUGGGAAUGCCUAUCCUAUGCCUGUCCCACCAAUGUAUUUUGGAAGUAUACAACUUGUUUGGUUUCACAGAUUCGCAGCUGGAGAGGAAUUUUGCCCCAGGAUGAAUCAUAACUCAAGUCUCACUGUACCUAAUUUAGAAGAUAUUUAGAAAAGACUUUGGACUUUAGACAUUAGCGUUGUUGCUGGAAUGAGUUAAGACUUUGGAGGAUGGAAUGAAUGUACAGAUGCUCCUUGACUUAGAAUGGGGUUAUGUCCCAAUAAACCCAUUGUAAGUAAAAAAAUAUAUAAGUAAAAAUGCAUUCAGUACCCUGAUAAACCCAUGGUAAAGUCAAAAAAUCAGAAGAUGCUUUUCAACUUACAAUGGGGUUAUUUAUUUCCUGAUAGACCCAUCGCAAAAUUUAAAAAUUGUAAGUUGAACCAUCAUAUGUUGAGGACAAUGUGUAUUUGGCACAUGAGAAGGACAUGAAUUUUGGGGGGCCAGGGGUAGAAUGCUAUGGACUGAACUUAUGUGUCUCCCUAAAAUUCGUACGUUAUGACCCUAGUUCCUAAUGUGAUGAGGAAAUAAAUGUUCAUUGUUUAGGCCACCCAGUCUAUGGUAUUCUUUUUGUAUCAUCUUGCACUGACUAAGACAGGCAUUUAUGAAAUACAGUUGCUCUGGCACUAAAAGGAACAAAUGAUAUGCAGCAGUAAGGAUGGGUGUUAAAAAAUAUUGUGCUGAGUGAAAAAUGCCAGACCCUCCCACAACAUAUCCUCUACGUAAUUCCAUUUAUAUGAAGUUCUAUCAUUGGCAGGACAAAUCUAAUGUAUGUGAUUGAGAUCAGAUCAGUGGUUGCUUUGGGAGUAUGAGGUGGGAUUAACUGAGAAGGGGUACAGGGAAACUUUCUAGGGGAUAGAAAUGCUCCGUAUCUUCCUCAAGAUAUUAAUUUGUCAAACCCCAUGGAACUCUACAAUUAAGACCUGUGCAUUUCACUGUAUGUAAAUGAUACCUCAGUAGUGUGGUCUCUAUGUGUGUGUAUAUACAUGUGUGCGUGUGUGUGUAUCUGUUCUUUGCCCUGCCCCCUUUCCAUUCCUGCCCUGAGAAGAUAGAAGACCUAGGAAGUAGAGAAUGCAGUCCCAUAGAAAGGAAGGCAGUCCCAAGGAGGGCCAUAAAAGAAGUCCUAGAAGGACCGAGAAGGAGAGUGGAGGGUUCCAGCAGGGACGUCUACAAGAAAAUGGUGGCCCAGAUGGAUGACUUCAUGAGGAAGCUGGAGGAAGUUGUGGGAAGUUAUACCAGGAAGUUAUUAAAAGGUGUGAGAAAGAAAACUAAGGAAAAAGAAAGAAAAGCAAUCAUUAACAUGAGGAGGCAGGGGGCAGUAAGGACAGGGGCAUGGUCACAGUACCCUACAGUGCUCGGCUGGGAGUAAUAUGUACAUAGGAUAAUGUAAACACUAUGUGUUAUUUAAUCCUACAAUUUGCAAUAUAAUUAUAUUGAAGGACUGCUGAGGGAGGGCUGAAGGAUGGCUCCUUGACCAUCAUGUGAAGUUAGUAGUUAAAACGGAUGAAUCAGAAGAGGUCAGGGUGCACACAUUACUUAGAAUCAAGAACAUGUGAAUGCCAGGAAAAAAAAUUGCUUAAAAAUUAUGUGGACUUUAAAUUCUAUCUACCAGGCCACAUUAGUCUUUUCCAGUAACAAAGUUGAACCCUCUAAGGAGAUUUCUAGGGCAGUUUGAAAAAGACCCAAAGCUGUUUACUAAUGUAGUUUAUUAAUUAAAGUGGCCCUGGAGUCACACACCACAGGUACUACAAUUUGUCAUGACAUUUGGCCCUCCAUGUCCAAGGGUUCCACAUACACGGAUUCAACAAACCUCAGAUCAAAAUUAUUCAAAAAAUGAAAAUAAAAAAUAAUAAUGCAACCAUAUGACACC
rnacentral:lncRNA from 1 species